AUGGGGGACAUGCCUGAGACCACCUUGCCGGACCCGGCAGCUAUUCCCCAAAGCAGCCCCCAGCGAGUAGAGCAGCCUCACCAGGAGCGUCCAGAAACCGCUCCUGAAGUGCCAUAUGCUUCGACCACACCGCGAAGGGAGGAUUCCCCGGCAAGGGAGCGUUCCCCGGCAAGGGAGAACUCUCCGGCAAGGGACAGUUCUCCGGCAAGGGGCAGCACCAGCGACCCACCGGCGAUGGAGACUGUAGAUCCAAGCACAGGUCUUCAGAUCCAGCUGCCACAGAGCCAAUGGAGACCGAGGCCGCCGGCGAGGAGAACGCGUGCGACAACACUGAUGAUGCUGCUGCCACUGAAGGAGAAGCCGGUGCUAAUGAUCCCGCCGGCGAAGAGGCCACCAAGGUUGCCGCCGCAGAAACUGGCGAGAGAUCCGGCGAUCGCACUGACGGCCCUGAGGCCGCAGGAGCGCCAGGCGCUGCACCGACCACCGAUCCCUCCACCGCUGCUGCAGCGCCAGGCUCCGAAGAUCCCUAGCCCGGCGCCUAUCUGA
rnacentral:rRNA from 1 species